rnacentral:lncRNA from 1 species
GAGAUGCUGCAGGCGUCAGUGCGGCUUCCCACUAGGCGCGUGGUACCCGAGGCCGGGCCGGAGCCGCAGGCCAGCCGCGAUUCCUUCGGGCGAUGCUGGGGGCUUUCCGGUCGGGGCCGCAGCCGCUUCCGGAGCCGCGGGCGAGGUGCAAGCGGUCUUCUCUGUCUUCUUUAUGGCCAGUAAAAUUCUCCAGAAGAGAUUUAUGGCAGCCUCACUCCCAGUAGUUUCUGCAUUUAGUGAGAUAAGGAAUGGAUUUUCUUCUGUGUAUUGCUGACACGAACAGGAGACGGAAAUACUGAGUAGAAGAGGGCGGUUCCCUGGCUAAGGCCCCACCCUCAAGCCUGGAUACCCGCGGCCCUAAAUGAGAAGAGGCGUUUCUGUUUGGGGCCCAAAAAGUUGCUUUUUGACCCACCACGCCCCCUAUCCUGCCCCCAUAUAAACCCCAAACCCCAACCUCCAGAGCAUACCAGCAGGUGAGGAGAUACGAGGCAAGCCGACUGACGGCAAAACGACGUAGCAGAGAAAGAGAGAAGAGGAGGGACGUCUGGACACCGAGAGAUGUUUGGCUCGGGGCAGUCAGAGCGGAGUCCAGCCCCUGGGCGGCCCAACUCCAGGGGAAGAUCACCUUCCCACUUCAUCCAUCCCCACCCUUCCAGCUCCCCAUCCAUCCUGCUGAAAGCCAUUUCCACCACUCAAUAAAACCUCGCAUUCAUCCUUCAAGUCCGUGUGUGACCCGAUUUUUCCUGGAUUCUGGAAAAGAGCUCGGAAUACAGAAAGCUGUCCCCUGGUCCUUUGCCCUUGUGAAAAAGCAGAAGGUCCAUUGAGCUGGUUAACACUCCAGCUGUCUGUGGUGGCCAAGCUGAAAGAGCUUUGUAACACUGGGGUUGCAGGCACCCACCUCUAGACGCUACCGCAGAGCCAGAGCCCAAAGCCCUCACCCCGGCCUCUGCACUUGCCCAUCUGCGUGCUCCCCCUCUCGCAAGGGGUUUCUGCAGAGGGGGCUACUGAACAGGUGAGCCACACCCCUGUCGCACGCCCUGCAAGGGGAAUCAGGGAACUCUUCCGUUUCAUUGCUUUGACCACAUCCUAUAAAUCUUGUUCUCCUUGUCUUUCAGCUCCAAUUUGUUUAUACAUUCAGUUUUUACUUUUGACUUUACUCAUGAUUUAUUAUAGAAAGAUGUUUAACAAUUUUCAAGCAAAUGGAAUAAUUUUUGCUCCUCUUUCGUUGUUAAUUUAUUAUUCAUUGGAGUUAGAAAAUUGUUGCUAAAAUAAAUUCUGCAUUUUGAAAUUUA